CAUUCUUUUUCUACGCACACUCUCUUCCAACCCAUGAAUAGAUUUUCUUCUUUGCGGUAGCUUCAUUUUGGGAGCCAUUUGGACAAAAGAGACUUGCAAAGAGCUUAGGAGACUAAAUGAGAGGUAGAGAGGAAAGGAUUUUAGGAAAAAAGUAAAGAUUUUGAGGAGGUAAAUCAUCGGUUUGGAGAAGAGGGGUAGAAUCUAAGGUAAGCUCGAACCACCCAAACGAGAAAGAAAGAGGAGAGGAAGUUGGUUCCUUAAUGGGCAAUUUGAAGGGUGAAGAUUGGUGGGAAGAGGGAUUUUGAGAGAAACCUUCAGUUUGAGAG
rnacentral:lncRNA from 1 species